rnacentral:misc_RNA from 1 species
GGGCUCCCACCAGCACUUUUAGAAAUUGACGAAGUUGUUGGAGAGCCAACUACCACAGGAGGAGAAGGUGAUUGGGUACCAUUAGGAGCUGAUUGCCCUUGAGGUGCAGCUGAUGGUUUUGGGUUGGCUGCAAAAGAUAUCUGUGCGUGGCCUUGUGGGACACGGCCUUGCUGUUGGGAAAGGGUUUUUAGGGAUGGUGAUGCGGAGGAAAGAGAUGGGGAAGGAACUUGGGAAGGGGUGGUCCUGACAGAAUUCUUCCACUGCGGAGAAUGAGCUGGACUACUGUUGCUCUGGACAAGAAUUGGAGGAAAUCCAGAUAAUGCAUUAGGGAACUUGGCAGCCAUUGAGGAAGACGAAGAAAUGUG